GGGGUUGUAGUAUAACUUGGCUUAGAAUACAGCGUUCGGGACGCUGUGAUCGGGGUUCAAAUCCUCGCAACCCCA
rnacentral:tRNA from 1 species